rnacentral:rRNA from 1 species
CACCCGAGACUCAGUGAAAUUGAACUCGCUGUGAAGAUGCAGUGUACCCGCGGCAAGACGGAAAGACCCCGUGAACCUUUACUAUAGCUUGACACUGAACAUUGAGCCUUGAUGUGUAGGAUAGGUGGGAGGCUUUGAAGUGUGGACGCCAGUCUGCAUGGAGCCGACCUUGAAAUACCACCCUUUAAUGUUUGAUGUUCUAACGUGGACCCGUAAUCCGGGUUGCGGACAGUGUCUGGUGGGUAGUUUGACUGGGGCGGUCUCCUCCUAAAGAGUAACGGAGGAGCACGAAGGUUGGCUAAUCCUGGUCGGACAUCAGGAGGUUAGUGCAAUGGCAUAAGCCAGCUUGACUGCGAGCGUGACGGCGCGAGCAGGUGCGAAAGCAGGUCAUAGUGAUCCGGUGGUUCUGAAUGGAAGGGCCAUCGCUCAACGGAUAAAAGGUACUCCGGGGAUAACAGGCUGAUACCGCCCAAGAGUUCAUAUCGACGGCGGUGUUUGGCACCUCGAUGUCGGCUCAUCACAUCCUGGGGCUGAAGUAGGUCCCAAGGGUAUGGCUGUUCGCCAUUUAAAGUGGUACGCGAGCUGGGUUUAGAACGUCGUGAGACAGUUCGGUCCCUAUCUGCCGUGGGCGCUGGAGAACUGAGGGGGGCUGCUCCUAGUACGAGAGGACCGGAGUGGACGCAUCACUGGUGUUCGGGUUGUCAUGCCAAUGGCACUGCCCGGUAGCUAAAUGCGGAAGAGAUAAGUGCUGAAAGCAUCUAAGCACGAAACUUGCCCCGAGAUGAGUUCUCCCUGAGACUU